ACAAGCUUCACUUCCACGUCUCUUUUUCCCUAACCUUACCAAGUUUUGUUUUUCUUUCAUUUUAUUCCCUCCAUUUUCAAUCCUUUCCCAAACUUAAACAUUUCUUCCUUAAUUGUUAGCAAAAUUAAGAGUAUAACUCCAUAGUAAGCUUAUCAUCUUGCAAAGCUAGUUAAUAGCCAUUUUAGGAGGAGAAAGAAAAAUGAAGAAAGUUAGGGAUUUAAGGUAAGAAAGAUAAAUUGGCUCAUAGAACAUCAAUUUUAUUUCAUCAUAAUGCAUGGAAAUAAUAUAUGAUUUUUGUUUUGAUAUUGAAUAUUGUAGAUGUGUUGUGUAAUGAAGAGAAGGAGAAGAAGAGUGAAUAUCAAGUGGGUGAGAAGGGUAAGGAGAUAGCAAACAAGUGAAGAAAGAAAGAAGGGGUACUUCAUUUCAAGCAAUUUUUAUUGUAAGUAUUUCAAGAAUUUAUUUUACUUGAUUUAAACCCUAUUUAAAAACAUGAUAAAUUGGUUAAGUAACGUUCAUGUAAUAUGUUUUGUUGUUAAAAAAAUAUGUUGUAUUUUGGAAAUUAUUUCAAAAUAAAACAGUAUUAAUAUAAUGCAUUGAAAGUGUAUGUGUAGUGAAAUUAGAGAAAAUGACUAAUUUGCAAAGAGUGAAAAAGUUAGAUAGGUGAAUUAGAUAUUGACAUGGAUUGAUUUAGUGAAAUGUUGAAUGUAGACACAUAAUAGGUGUCAAGUGAAAUAGAUGAUUGGUUGAUUCUAUUUGGUAAUGACUAAAUUGUAAAAAAUGGUAAAUUUUGAAUUGAUUUCUUUGGUGAGAAAAUACAAUAAAAUUGCAUAGUUUGAAUGUCCAAGUGGACAAAAUGAGAACUAGUAGGAUAUAAAUGAAAUGUCAUUAGGAAAGUGACUACACACACUAGUGAGAGCGGCACUAUGGUGCAAGUGUUGGUGGCACUUCUGUGCAAAAUGACAUCUGCACGUUCAUGCAAAGAAUAGUGGCACUUUGGUGCACCUCAUCGACAUUUUUGUAUAUCCUAUUGUGUUCUAUUAAGUCUACAAUUGAGCAACUGAAUUGAAAGGCAAGUGAACGUUAAAGUGGCAUUGGUAAGUGGCUUGUAUUUUGUUGAAUCGGUAUCUUAUUGUAGUUUUCAUUAAAAUAAACUUGUGCAUAAUGAUGGAGAUUAAUGUGUCAUUCAAUUUUUGAUAUGUUUACUAACUCGUGAGCUUAACAUGUUUCUUUCAAACAUGUAGGUAAAGAUUUUUUUGAAGCUAAAAAGUGAAUAUCGUCUAUAACUCAUUUCAUCACAUCUCCAGCAUUAGAAGAAGUUGAAAAUGUUAUAUAUAAAUUUAAAAAAUGAAAUUAUUAGGUAUUGAUCUUCAUUGUAAACCUAAACAUGCUAGUAGGCCUACCAACACAUCACGUCCAAAUACAUGCGUGGGAAGCCUAACAUGACUCAACUUUUAGUUGUUUUUAGUAAGACAGCUAUCUUAAGGCAUCAAAUCAUAUAUAUCCUUUUCAUUAGUCAGAUCAUUUUAGAACACACCUUUUUACAUCGAAUACACUUCUAUGUGAACCAACUUCCGUUAAGCCAAGAGGAACAGAUCCAUCUUCUUCCCUUGGUCACAAAGGAUUCUAACUUUUCUUGCAUCCGAUUUGAAGUUUAGAACCAUGGCUGCAACAAGUUAUUAGUGUCAGCCACUUAUUUUCAAUGCAAAAACUAUUUAUUUCAUAUUCCAUUUUUUUUAAAAAAUUAAUUUAACAAUUUUUCAUCUUUUUUAAUGUUCAAAUUUACCUUUUAUUUAAAUUAAAAUAAAUUGAAAAAUUAAUUUUGUACUUUAUUGACAUAGAAUACAAUAAGAAUUUAAUUAAUUUUUAAAUUUUAAAAGUUUAAAAAAGUAUUUUUAAAAAUUAAAAAUUAUUAAAACUAUUUAAAAAAUAUACCCAUUAUAAAAAAUAAUUUUAAAUUUUUAAAUUUUAAUUAAAUGUUAAUAUGUUAUUUAAAUUGUAUAUCAUGUUAGUAAAGUUAACAAAUGUUAAUUUUUUCAUGAUGUUAAAGUGAUUUGACAAAAAUAUACAAGUUUAAGAGCUAAAAAAGAUAAAAAAAAAUUAAUUACAAGAACUAAAAUAAUUUAUUUUUAUAAAAUUGAAAGACGAAAAAAUAAUUAUGUUGAAUAUAAAAAUCACAUAAAAUUACAUCUCUCUAAUUAUUUUAAAGGCUAAUCAAAAUCCAACGGAAAAAAGUAAUUCAUUAUAGCUUUCUAGGAUAUGAGUUUUUGUUUAUAAAUUCAACCUCGUACCAAAUUAAUGAUCUUUGGCGCUAAGUAGAGGUGAUUAUCCGCAGGCUAGGCUUAAUAAAAAAAUUCAAGUCCAUUUAUUAGACUUAGGCUCAGCCCGAAAAGUGGGCCUAAAAUUUUGUUCAAGCCGACUUAGAUAAAAAUACUAAAAUUUAAACUUGACGUGGCUCGCCUGUAUUAAUUUUUAUAUUAUUUUUUAAUAUUUUUAAAUAUAUAUAGUACAUCAAAAUAUUAAAAAUAUCAAAAUAAAUAUAUCCCAAAAAAUUAAAAAUAAAUUUUAAAAAAUAUGUAGACUUAAAUAAUAACACUAAAAUAAGUAUAACUUCACAAGCAAAUACCUCUAAAGUAAUAACAAAAUUAACAAAUGUCUUUAAAAUAAUAACAAAAUUAACAAUAAAAUAAAUUUUAUACAAUAUCCAAACAAUAAUAAUAAAAUAGUAACAACAUAAUAGUAAAAUGGUAACAAAAUAAGGAGAAAACAAUAAGAAAAUAACAUUAAAAAAAAGAGUAAUUUUUUUUUCUUUUAGUGAAUUCGGGCUAGGCUAGGUCGAGCCUGGGCCAAAAAUACUUUACCCUUCGGCUUAGUCCAUUUUUUAAACGAGCCUUAUUUUUUUUAUCUAAACCUAUUUUUAGGCCUAUAUUUUUGCUCAAACCCUCUCAUAGUUUAGGCGAACUUUUAGAUCAAACUAAAUGACCCGACCCGUGAUCAGGUCUAAUGCUCACUGAUAGCAUUGCCUGAAAUUCCUGUUGCUAAUUGUAGAUACGAAUGAAUCCCUCUUCACCUUGUCAUCACAUUGGUACACUUUUAAAUAGAAAUGCAAUCAAGUUGAGUUAGAAAUCGAUUUUUUCAUUCGAACUUAAUUGAAUAUAUAUUUAAAAGCACUCAUUUACAUAAUUUUUUUACUCAAGCUGGUGAUAAAGAUAAUUAAAAAGAACUCGCAUUAAGGAAAAAGCAUAAAACCCUUUUCCUUAAACCCCAAAAUGCUUUUCUUUUCAUGUAAGAAAAUGAUUAAUUUGUCAUCCAUGAAUGAAAGCAAGCUGUAUCCACUUUCUGUCCAACGGAUGGAUUCCAUUAUCAAAUACAAAGAGUUUAAAGCCCUUAAAGUUGAAAAAAACAUACGUGAAAAAGCUGCCGACAUCUUUUGACCUUUAACACAUUACAGUUCAGAGUUCAGACAGAAACUACAUUACCUUAAAAAUAUCAAAUUGGGUAAAAAAAAAAAUAAGAAAAACUAUGAGAGCAUUGCAAAAUUGCCUACUUAAAGCAAGAACAGUCAAAUCUAUUAGUAGCUCCUUUUUUUUCAAUACAAGAUAGCGAUUUUCAACUGCUUUUCUUCAAUUUCUAAUGAAUCAAAGUUCUGGAAUUUUUUGUUUACAUUGAUAGCAAAUCUGGGUUAUCCUUUUAAUUUGAAGACCGUCAUCAUCACCGUGAGCUUUGCCUCACCGAACAAGCAACCACUUGUGCCCAUUGCUUCAGCCUUGUCUUCACCGUCUGCGGUGAAUCAGCUUCACCGGGCAUCAAACAAUAAAAUCAGAAAACGAAAAUGAAAAUGAAAUAAUUCCAACAGAUUUAAGAUACUAUUGAAUUGAAAAUUUAUUACUUACCAGGGUCAAAGAUGGCAUGGGGACUGCCAACAGGGGAAGGGAUACUAUCACAAUCGGAAGCAGCUGAAGGAGACGACACAGACCUGGAAACAACGUCGUUAUAGUUCUUGUUAACGGCGUAGUAAAGACCCAAAGCCGGGA
rnacentral:lncRNA from 1 species